GCUGCAGGAGGAGGGAAUGAACGCCAUCAACCUGCCCCUCAGCCCGAUUCCCUUCGAGCUGGACCCCGAGGACACGAUGCUGGAGGAGAAUGAGGUGCGAACAAUGGUGGAUCCAAACUCACGCAGUGACCCCAAGCUUCAAGAACUGAUGAAGGUAUUAAUUGACUGGAUUAAUGAUGUGUUGGUUGGAGAAAGAAUCAUUGUGAAAGACCUAGCUGAAGAUUUAUAUGAUGGACAAGUCCUGCAGAAGCUUUUCGGUA
rnacentral:lncRNA from 1 species